ACGUAUCCUGACUACGUUGGUCCAAAGUGCAAAACGUAGAGGGGUUACAAUAAUGGCCCUUAAAUUGUAUGACUGUUACAAUUUUUUUUGCCUAUUGUUUUGCGUCCAAGUCACGUGACUUUAGAGAGCCCGGCCGUGAGAACAAAAAACAUGGCGGACGUUUCUCUACUUUUUAGUGAAAAAACAAUAUUUUGAGUUAGUUUCUGCAUAAAAAUAAGGUUUAAUUACAUUUUUAGCGAGAAAUAUAUAUUCUAUUUUCAUAAUAUUCACUCAGUGAAUGUACAUAAUCACUCGCUUGCGCGUUGUUGCAAAGAUUUUUCUGAUCUCGCCAGAAUAAUGUGAAACUGCUACGUUUUGGUUGCUAUGAACAAUAUUUUAUUUUCUGCAUCAAAAUAAGGUUUGAUUACAUUUUAAGCAAAAAAUAAAUAUUUUAUUUUCAUAAUAUUCAUUCAGUGAAUGUACAUAAUCACUCGCUUGCGCGUUGUUGCAAAGAUUUUUCGGAUCUCGCCGGAAUAAUGUGAAACUGCUACGUUUUGGUUGCUAUGAACAAUAUUUUAUUUUCUGCAUCAAAAUAAGGUUUGAUUACAUUUUAAGCAAAAAAUAAAUAUUUUAUUUUCAUAAUAUUCACUCAGUGAAUGUACAUAAUCACUCGCUUGCGCGUUGUUGCAAAGAUUUUUCUGAUCUCGCCAGAAUAAUGUGAAACUGCUACGUUUUGUUUGCUAUGAACAAUAUUUUGAGUUAGUUUCUUCAUAAAAAUAAGGUUUGAUUACAUUUUUAGCGAGAAAUAUAUAUUCUAUUUUCAUAAUAUUAGCGUCAAAAACUGACGCGAAUUUUAUUGGUAUGAAAUCACGCUGAAGAAGUCUCCUUCAGAACACAUCGCGAUAUUUGGCAUCAGUUCGCGUGUGCUGGAUGUUGGUAAGUAGUCGUAAAUACGCUGUUCUAAUGUUUGAUAUAAUGUCUUUUCUGUUUGCAGAUAUUAAUCAGAUUAACGUUAGCUCCCUCAUGUUCAGUCACUGCAUUAUAUCUGUCACCUCCGCUGAGGUUUUGCUUUUCAUUGUUUUCUAUAUUAAAUACUAAACUAGGGUGAUUAAACACUGUCACGUGACGUGCAAUAUAUUGCACAAUAUAAUAUAACAUAUUCAUAUCAGGUUCAAAGUAGUACAAGUGUAGUUUCAAAAUGGUAUUUGUUGUAGAAGCACGGUAAAAAAAAACAACACUUACCAUGCUUUUUACCACAGUAUUGGUAGUUUUAAUGUGAUUUUUGUUGUAAAUACAGAGUAACCACAACACUUAUCAUGCUUUUAAUGCCUAAUAAUGUUAAAUCCAAAAACUGUAAGGUCAAUAAGAACUUCUUUCCUAUAUAUAUUUAGGCUAUAUAUAAACCUAUAUAUUAUAAAUAAUGAUAUUUUCUUUUCUCUUGUUUUAGCUGAAAAGACAAAAAGGGCCUUUCGGAAAUGGAUGAAGGAGACAGAAAGCUGCAAAGGCAAAUAAUUGCAAUGAAGGAAAUCCUACGGUUAUGUAUGAACUCACAACAUCAUCAUCAAGUGCUGUGCUGGGCACAUUGGGUAACAAGUGUCCUCCAACGUAUCCAAUCUGUGGCCACGUUCUCCACAUCUUCCCAUGGGACACCGACAUUCUUCAGGCCUUCGUUUCCAUGUCUUCCCCUGCAUUCUCCUGGUGGUGUCCACUUCAUCUCUGUCUUUGGGUGUUGUUGUUUGGUCAUGCUUAGGAUGUGUCCGGGGAGGUGCACCCUUCACUCUGUCACAGUUUUUAAAAGUCUUCACGUGGACUCCUCCUUAUGAUCUCCUUGAAACGUGCAGAACCAAUAUUGAAAAUAGUCAUUUAUCUUUUUCCAUAUUCUUGCCUUUAUCAAAGAAGCACCAGUGCUCAUCCGGAGUUUUGGUAAAAGACAUAUUCAUUGCCAUCCACUAGUUCUAGUAAUGCUGCGACUAUAGUCAAAUAUGUAUUUCUGCAUGUGUGUAUAGCAGGUGUUUGUCCGAACAAUUGAAGUUAGUGAGAGUGUUCAGGAAAACCCUCUGAGAACAAUCAAUAUUUAUUUAAUUCUGUUUGGUGCUGAUAUAGAGUAUUACAGAAAUGACACAUUGACAUUCUGGACAUUAUUCUGUGAGUUUGUUACCUCUACAUUUAGAUGGACUUGAAAAUGUCUUGCAUUUUGUUUCAUUAAACCUUUUAUUACAGUGUCACUAUAGUAAAUGUCCACCUUAACUACAUCUAUGGUAUCAUUAUAUCAGUACCUGGAUAAUGUAAAUGUAACAUACCCAUGAAUGUAUUUUAUAGAAGCAUUUUAUUGCUGAAAAUAUUUAACAUUUAUAAAAUGCAUUAACUAUU